AUCGCUUCUCGGCCUUUUGGCUAAGAUCAAGUGUAGUAUCUGUUCUUAUCAGUUUAAUAUCUGAUACGUCCCCUACCCGGGGACCAAUAUAUUAAAUUGAAUUUUGGAGCAGGGAGAUGGAAUAGGGCUUGCUCCGUCCACUCCACGCAUCGACCCAGUAUUGCAGUACUUCUGGGAACGGUGCACCCCCC
rnacentral:snRNA from 1 species